UCCUCCCCUUUUGCGGUUGCUAAAGUCAUUUCAGCCUGUCUUUUCAGUGUGUGUCCCUGUUGGAUGCUGCUUUGGAUCUGUUUAUUGCCCUCCCUGCAGUUUAACAGCAGGUUAUUUGGAGGCUGCGUAUCCUGAGCAGUGAAUUGAUUCUAAGGAACUUAACUAUGCGCGUUUGGAUCCUCCUUUUUUUUCGCCCUGGGAGCUGGGGUCCCACGGGUGAAAGGUCUUUGGUGGUGCUAUUUCUACAUUUGCCGUGCGACACUUUUGACGUGUAUGAGUGGGUGCUCUGAGUUCAUGGUGAGGUGUGUGGAAGUGUGCUUUUUGAUAAUUAGUGCUGAUCACUCCGGUGGGUAACCCCAGCCCUGUAUCUAAUGAUUUUAUUUUGUUUGGCUUAUUUGGAAAUUGUGUAAAUUUGUUGUUUAAUAUUUUGUGUCUGUUUAUUUUUGUUAUUUGUGUAAUUGUCACCGGACCGUAUUCACCGGCGAGAACAUUUUCUGUUUUAUUUUUUAAAGUCAAGUUUUCAAUAAAUUCUGUAUUUUUCUUAUACAAUGCCCACGUUUCCUGCCUACACUUAUUAAUAAGGGAAUCGAACUUGUGUGAUCUAAUAAAGUCUGGGGUUUACUUCUAAUUCCUGGGUGUAACCCUCCCAGGUGGCGUAGUCGAGUAGGUUAAGUAUAUAAAGUUGAGCUUGGGUGUGACGAGCCGUUCGGCUCACGCCCCUAGGCCCCCACACCACACCCCUCGCGCCACAUUCUGGCGUAGUCAGCAGGAUCUCUUGUGUAGUGCAGAAGACGUGGGUAUUGUUUGUGUAUUUCUGUUUUAUAUAUUUU